rnacentral:lncRNA from 1 species
AUCUCCUCUUCUGUGGGCACUGUAUGGAGAGGUCUCUGGAGAUUUCUUCUGAUGAAAACCAUUAUUUCAGGCUUCCUGGAGAUUUCUUCUGAUGCAAACCAUUAUUUCAGGCUUUCCUAUGGCAAGACUGUACUUUGGAGGAUAAUUUUGGGAAAUAGUGUCAUGUAUAGAAAUACGAGAUCUUAAGACUACUUGCGCUCAGAUACUAGUUGGAAAGAAUUCUUCACCCUAGCAGGUAUGCCUGCUGCAUCUCAAACCACAGGAUUGAAUUGGGCAGCCUUAGGGAUGAAACUGAGGUUCUGCAUUGGCAAGUACAGAGGGCUGACUCUACCAUGUGACGAUCCAUAGAGAAGAGUACAUGACUGGAUGCCAACUUCACUUUUGCCUGCAACUCCCUGGGGUUCUGUGAUCUCAUUGUUGCUUAUAUUUAGCUUCUGGUAAUUUGGUAAAAAUAAAUAAGUAAAUACAAAUUUACUGAAUUAUUUCUAGUUGCUCACAUGACAGCCUCUCUUCCUCUCAUGUUUGUCCCCAUGUGAAUCAGUAUUGAUGUCCCCAUCUCUCCCUAGAGGUACAUAUCUUUAA